GACGAACGCUGGCGGCGUGCUUAACACAUGCAAGUCGAACGGAAAGGCCCUGCUUGCAGGGUGCUCGAGUGGCGAACGGGUGAGUAACACGUGGGUGAUCUGCCCCUUACUUUGGGAUAAGCCUGGGAAACUGGGUCUAAUACUGGAUAGGACCAUGCUGUAGGUGGUGUGGUGGAAAGAUUAGUUUCGGUAAGGGAUGAGCUCGCGGCCUAUCAGCUUGUUGGUGGGGUAAUGGCCUACCAAGGCGUCGACGGGUAGCCGGCCUGAGAGGGUGGACGGCCACAUUGGGACUGAGAUACGGCCCAGACUCCUACGGGAGGCAGCAGAGGGGAAUAUUGCACAAUGGGCGCAAGCCUGAUGCAGCGACGCCGCGUGGGGGAUGACGGCCUUCGGGUUGUAAACUCCUUUCAGCCAUGACGAAGCCCUUGUGGUGACGGUAGUGGUAGAAGAAGCGCCGGCUAACUACGUG
rnacentral:rRNA from 1 species